rnacentral:snRNA from 1 species
CGUUAUUUUACUUACUCC